ACAAUGGUUACCCCUUCAGUUGGAAUGUCAGGCCAAAGAACGUCCACUAUAUCUGUGGUUGAAAUCCGCCAAAAGUUGAAACAGCGUAUCCCUGUCAUUUUCUGGGAACCCUUGAAGAAACAGUUUUGCAAAAGAAGGCAGCGCCAUCUCUGGAAUUCUUGAGGGCACUGUUUCAAAUCUUCAAAUCUAACCACCGAUGCCCGACUGUGGUGUGACACGAUUGAGUAUCCUGACUUGUCUACCUCUCUGCCUGCAGUACUCGUGAAUGUCCUGACGCUGACACCAUACGGCACCUGUUGGAAUCACAACGCAUCACUGAAAUGCACUCUGCAAGUUGAGGGUAACAGCUAGGGGUUAUGGAAAACUUUUGGAAGGGGCAUCGAAGUCUUGGAUUUCAUACGCAGAUCAGUCCAUCGACUAGAUGUUCCGAACCAUCCAUCGUUCAGUGCUGCAAUCACAAUGAUCUGCCAUCCUGAAGAAUCAAUUUUCUUGAUGAAGAUGUCUGGGCAAAAAUCAGAAGCGAGGCCGAAGUGGUUCCCGUCUGCUGUGGUAUUAGCCGGGGCUUCCCUCGACAAACCUAGACAGCACAGACCAGAUGCUACAACGCUCAAAGAUUAGAUUUUCAGGAAAAAAGUGUAGAGAUUAUCUUCGGAUGGUACACAGUUUCAGCCUUUUUGUCGUGUUUGGAACAGUUUUAGGCUUUUUGGAGCAGGGAAUACGAGUAGAUUUUUUUUGCACUACAAACCCAUAUUUUAGAACUACUUUACAGGGUGUGUUUUUGUCUAGACAGAAAGAAAUCAAGCAUAUUUUAAGUUACUUUUUCUUAAUGUCAUAUCUGAGUAAAUAAAAAUUACAAAGCAUUAGACAACUUGUUCACUCAAGUGGAGCAAUUGAAAAUGUCCAUCAUACGUACUGUUCGUAAUUGCAAAAAGUAAUCGCUAAUAUCCCUUUAAUUAAGACGUGAAAUAGGACUCAUAAAUUCUUGAGAACCCUGGAGAAAUUAACUGAUUUUUUACCAUUUUAUUGCUUUUUAAUUUUUCCUGAAUUUUCAAGAUUUUAGGCAUAAUUUUCAUCGGAUUGUAGGAACUUCUUAUUCAAAAUAAGCAGGUACUUGUAAUGCCCAUCAUGUUCCUAGAAAGUAUCGAGCAAGAUAGACUUGGAGGCUUGCUACCAAUGCUGAAAAAAGUUUAAAAAAACUCGGACACCCUGAAAUUUCAGUCAUAGCAGAAUCUCAAAUAGUUCAAUUUGUUGUGAAAACCAUAAUUUACCUGUAGAAAUGGAUUUUUUGAAGGGGUUUGAAUAUAGGAAGGCUUCUAAAUAUAUUAUGAAUCUACUACUGAUACUGAUGAAUAUGCAGAUCCUGAAUAGUUUGUGUAUUCUGUCUUUUGGCAUAUUCAAAUAUUCUGCUUUUGU